rnacentral:lncRNA from 1 species
ACUUUCUCUACUGGGCAGCCGCUGAGGAAUAUUACAGCAAAUGAGUCUUCUUUGGUGGUCCAGCCACACCAGCCCUUAUACUUCACAGCGUGAGUGAUAUAAACAUGAAGGCCAGGUGCGGCGGCUUACACCCGUAAUCCCAGCACUUUGGGAAGAGUGAAGUGGAGGAAGAGGUACAUUCAACUACAGAGGAGGAAACUGAGGCCCAGAGGGGAAAAGUGACUUGAUUGACAAAAAUUGGAUUCUGGUCUUUGUUCUGCCAAAGGCUGCCAGAACCUUUCCUUGUAGUGCAAGAACAACCACACUGCUGGAAGUGAAAUUUGCAAUCUGCUCUAUCAGAUGAUUUCUGCGCAUGGGCUGUUACUAUGUUCAAAGCAUUAAACUGCCUGAAAGUGGAUUAUUUACAGAGCUUCUCUCUUCCCAGAGCUACGGAUAGGUGGCAAUUCAGCCUCUUCACCCUAAUGCACACUUUCUCACUUUCCACCGAGACUCUUUGUUUGCUGACAGCAUCUGGCUAUCCUGAGUACUUGCCUUAGCUGGCACAGUUCUCUCCAAUCCCUAGAAGAAACAGCCUUCACCUACACUCCAGGGAUGAAAUAACAUUUCAGCUCAAAGCUAGCAACCUUUCUCUGAAAUGGUGUCACACCCAGACAGAAAAAUAAAUGUGCUGUUUCUUCUUAGAUGAUGAGAAGUCAGGCUUUCAGGCAGACUUUUGACACAGGGAGGAUCAAGGUUUGACUGCCUUUGAGUAAUCCUUGCAGAAAAAACAGCACCUAAUUGGACAAAGGAAGAAAGGAACCAGCUGCUACUGUCAAGAUUAUUUAAACACCCAUCCACAGUCAAAAACACUGCAUUGUUUCAUUACAAGUGAAAUUUGAUUGCCACUACAUUUCCUGCUGGCCUCCCCUCUAUGCAAAUUGGGGAGAAGAAAGAAAUUCAUAAGGCACCAGAACCCAUUUGGCUUCUAAAUGUACUGUUUGCAUAUAGACAUCAGCAGCCUGAAUAAAUCCUAGCGAGGAAUGUCAAACUGACAACACUGGCUACUUUUCUAUUGUUCUCCCUGAAAACAUCGUUUUUAACACGUUCACAAAGGCAAGCUGGAUUCUGUUUUAUCAGUGUUUUAGUAAAAGACAAGUGGCGUGGUGGUUCAGUUGUGGGUAUCGGACAUUAAUGAAAACCAUUCUGGGAGAGUUCACUUUAUAAAAGAUUAAAAUAAUUCAUCAACUUGCAAAAAAAAAAAAAAAAAA